CGCCUCUUGUAUACAUAAGAGGUCCAGCCUGCCCAGUGACUCUUGUUUAACGGCCGCGGUAUCCUAACCGUGCGAAGGUAGCGUAAUCACUUGUCUUCUAAAUAAAGACUAGUAUGAAAGGCAUCACGAGAGCUAAACUGUCUCCUCUCUCUAAUCAGUGAACCUAAUCUCCCCGUGAAGAAGCGGGGAUUCCCGUAUAAGACGAGAAGACCCUAUGGAGCUUUAAACAUCAUAACACUUGCUACCACAUUUCACUUACCCCGGUAUUUCUUCUUACAGCACACUGAUUAUAUGUUUUUGGUUGGGGUGACCGCGGAGAAAAACUAAUCCUCCGCAAUGAAAGGAAUCUUCCCUAAACAGCAAGCCACAACUUUAUGUAUCAGCAAACUGACAUUCAUUGACCCAAUACAUUGAUUAACGAACCAAGUUACCCUAGGGAUAACAGCGCAAUCCACUUUAAGAGCCCCUAUCAACAAGUGGGCUUACGACCUCGAUGUUGGAUCGGGGUAUCCUAGUGGUGCAGCCGCUACUAAAGGUUCGUUUGUUCAACGAUUAAAACCCC
rnacentral:rRNA from 1 species